AAAAAAUUGGAAUAAAAAAAACUAAGAAACCUUUAAUCUUAAAAUUAUUUUUAUUAUUAUUAUUGAACAAUUCAAUGUCUUUCUCUUUUUAUUUUUCUUUUUUAUUAUAUUUUUAUAUUUUGCAUAACAAAAAAAUUAUAAAAAUUAGGUUAAGUUCUUAAUCUAAAAAAUUUUGUUUGCGUAUCGAACAAGGAACAAUUCGAUACGCGAGUUAUAGCAGCCGGCAUCGAUUAACCAGAGAAUUUCGAUUGACGUACUUAACCCGUUAAUUAAUUGGUUGCCAGUAUGUAAUUCAGCGCUUCCGCAUUCUAGAUCACUAUUGUAUCCCAUCGCGGUAGCAUUCUUGCCCGCAUACCAUUGGAUGCCGCGAAUGUUUCUUACACGCGCCGUGCAUCAUUCGAUCGAGAGUCGAAUUAUAUCUUCAAAUGGACAACGAUCGUCCGUUUGUUUGCUGCAUGGUAAUAAUACCGGACAUAGUUCCACAUUUUUAGAGAAAAAUAAGUAUUAUCUAAUAUCAUAUCUAACAAUAUAAUAAUUUAUAUUAUUUUUUCUGAUUUUGAAUCGUGAUAAAAUUAACAUAUGUUUUUGCAUUGUUUCUUUUGUAGAUCGUAGGAAACAUAUACUGGAAAAAAAGAAUAAAAAUAUUAAUCUAAGCCUUCAUGAUAUUGGACGAUAUUGGUAUCUGAAAUUAUAAUACGAAUAUAAUAAAUUGAUUCACGAUAAAAUUGAAUUUCAAUCUUGAUUUUAAUUUUAAUAUAUGGAAAUGGAAAUGUAUCAACCUACAUGUUAAAUUUCAAUAUUCUUCGACAAUAUUUGAAGAGGAAAUGACUAAUUUCUCUGCAUUAUUGUCAUCGAAUGAUCAUUAUAAAUGUCAUCACAAAAAAAAAAAAGAAGAAAUCUUACGAUCAAUAAUUCUCGUAUCAGAAUGAUUAACUGGAACUUCACAAUCGAUAUAUAUUUCGUAAUUUCACAGACUCGAAUGUCGAUUUUGCACCGUGUAUACAGACAUUUUCGCUAGCAGCCAGUGUGAAAAUGUAUUCGGCGUGGCCGUCGCCAAAGCCUCGCCGAUAGGAUCGAUAGACGCUAGAAACGGCAGCCAGCCAGCCAGCCAGAGUAAGCCUCUGCAUCUCCGGGUCGCCUGGAAACUGGCUGCGCGAUUCUGUGUCAAAGCGACAUUACCGCGUCUGGUAGUCUUCACGAUAUACCGUAGCCUAAACCAUCAAAUUAAAACCAUAGAUUAAUUUUACCAAUCGGUAAAAUAAUAUAAAUUCAUAGUAGUAUUAUACUACUUCAAAUUUAUUUAAUCAAAAUUCUAUCUUCUAUUUUUUAAGUAAUAUCCUUGUACGUUGAAAAUAAAAUGAACUGUGUGAGGGACCCCACCCGUAAGCGCCUGAUGUAGAGGCCGCGAUACUAGCGCUAAUCUGGCGGAACUUGAGUAAACUAUUGUUAGAAAUUUGUAAUGCUAUUGAAAUGGAAAUUUGCACGCUUUUUGUGGAAAAAAUUAUUAAUGUGAUAUCAAUUUAAUAUAAUUAGAUUUAAUAUACUAUUGAAUAGAUACCAUUAAUCCGUUUUGAUUAUUUAUGUAUCUUAAUUCAGAAUUUCGAUGAAAGAAAAUUUAUUCCGUUUAUCACUAGUAGUAUAGAUUUUUGAUUUUGAACCAAGUAUAAUGUAUUUACUCAUUAUUCGUGAACACUUGUUUUAUAUUUCGAAAGAUGCAACAUAUAUGCUAGAUCUUAUGUAUGGAUCACUAUUUCGUCUACAAAUCGAGACGAUUCCUCGAAAGCGAGCGAACGAAACUUUCUCUCGGCAAAACGAAAGGGCAGGACGAGUCCACCUGAACGAUUCUAUCGAGCCAAGGAAAUCGUGCCUUCGCCAUCGAUCGAGAAGCCUAGCCACCUAACCAGGGACGUUUCGUAGUUGGCAAUCAAUCGGCUGUUCAAACGGCUGGAACAUGUUCUUUUCUCCCUUGUUCCGGGGUGAUGUAAUCCGGGCCACGGUUUCAAGUAUUCUCUAAUCGUGUUUGCAUAAUCGAUUCAUGCGAAUCUGAUGCGUCAAAUCGAAGGAGGACAAAACACGUUUAUUAAACGCAAAUAAAGUCGUCCACGACUAUUUAACUCGUCCCUGUUUAGUAAUGUAAUCGUUUAAUCGACGAUAGAAAGUGGGCAGAGGCAGCGAAGGUGACGAAACUCAUGGAAAUGAGAGACCUGUCCGACUGACGAACAAUACCGUCUGUGGAAUCGCGAUCUCCUAGCUGACCGAACCGAAAUCAAGAUCGAAGCUUUCCUUUCCGGUCCCCAAUACCGUUACUGAGCGGCGACACGAAAAGUGAUCGAUGGCGCAUGCGCGGAGAAAUCGUUCGCUUCUCGAAAAGUCUUUUGAUAACUUGGUCACUGAAUUUUUUAUAAUGGGAAGAGAUUAUUUUUUUAUUUGUAUGUUUCUAUUUCGAUGUUUUAAUUAACAAUAAAAAAAAAAGGAAGGAAAAGUAGAAUUUUAGGUUACGUUUGAUGGAACAUGGAAAGUUUUGCGUAGAAUUGUUUGAACUCGUGUUGAUUUAUUACAAAUUUUAAAUAUCGUUAAAAUUUUAAUAAGUAGAAAAUCUAAUGAGAAAUUUUUUUUUUUUAUUUAUUGCAGAUGAGUACACAAUAUGAAUCUCAUAAAACUACUCUCCAAAUUUAUCUAUAAGUUUUAUACUCCUUAAUAGUUUUAAACGUCUCGUCGGAAUUUAUAAUCAUGUUUAUUAAAAAAUCUAAUUUGCUUUAAUUGACCACCAUGUUCGUAACCAAUUUGUGUAUCACUAUAAUUAUCCGUUCAAUGCCAAUUACUUUCGAAGAGACGAUGUUUCUCAAGUAGCCAAUCAACACCACCCACCAUCUUCCCUCGUUUGCAAUAAAAUCACCAAAACCUAACCUCUAAUUACGUGCGUGGAACAAUAUACGCUCGGCAUCAUAAACCGCGCGUAGUACACUUGCAAGUGUGUCACCGUGAACCGUUAAAGGGAACGAUGAUAAUUUUCGACGUUUAUCGUAAUAAAUUGAAUGGGCCAAUUAAACUGUCACGGGCAUCGAGGCGAGGUGGAUCGAGGGAUUUGCCAGGAAAGGAAUACAUAGGUGGACGAUACGUUCCUACACGUUAAAUCAUCUGCUUCGACAGAGCGUUUCAUAUAUCUGGGAAUUGCUCGUGCGCCGAGCAACUUUCGCAAUAGUGAGAGGCGUGUGCCGUUGCACGCAGCUUUUGAUCUCUACGUAGAGAGGCAGCGGUUCUCGUGUCACCGUUGCGUAGCUGCUCUUUGGGCCUUCGUCACGCAUUUGCAAUCCCCGCUACGUCUACUACACACGGUGUUACAAAAAUUCUUGUGCAAUACGCGGGUCACCUAGAAACUAUACCGAGAAUUGUCUCUCGCCACGUAUUAUUUACAGAAUAUUACAGAAUUUCUCGUAAAAAUAAAAGAUAAAAUGUGAUAUGUGGAUAAAUUUAAUUAAAAAAUUUUCGAUCACAACAACGUGAUUUUUAUUAACACUAUUAUUUAAAUGAAAGAGAAUAGAAUUCUCCGAUAGGAUUUGUAUCGUGAUAAAUUUCUUCGUUACUUCCUCUUUCAUUCGUUUCUAAAAAAAGGAAGAACAAAAACAAAGUCGUCAAGUUUUUCAAUCAAAUCAACAACACUACUUCUCAAACGACAAUGAUCUAAUGCGCGCGAUUACGAUCCCGGUGCCAAUCUCGUUCUUCGCCGAUUGUUCCUCGUACCUUUCCAAACGCUUUCACCCUCUCGCUUUCCGUUCCAAUCACCAUUCCUUCCGGCUGCAUCCGUGAUCAGGAUCGAUUCAGAUCCAACUGAGAAUUAAAUACUACAACUGCAAUCGUAAAAUCCGUGGAUAAACAGUCGUUGCAGGUGUGUCUCCGCAUAAGCGCACGUGGAUAGGAAAACACAGCGGGUGUUUCGUCUCGAAAACAAGUUCGACAAAGUUCCAGGAACGUGUCCAAGGGGAGGAGAAGAGACGAGAGAGAGAGGAUCACGAGGAAUCUCACUUUCUCUGGCGAUUCGUUAUCGGCCGAGAGGCGGAUUAUCGUGGAAAUAAAGGAACGCCUUUCUUUGAACGCGACGAUCUUUCACUUCCUGUCUGCGUCGAAAGAAAGCGACACGCCGUUGCAAAAUCAUCGCAGAACAAACAGAACGGCCGUGACUGAAAAUGAAACGAGGAUGAGGUGAUCUUGUGCCCGGUCCUCGAGCUUCUUCUUCUCCUUCUUCAAGAAGAUUUUACACUCGUGACGCUUCUUUAACACGCGUUUAUGCGGAUUAUUGAAGGAAAAUUAAUGGGGAAUUUUUGUGAAGUAAGUCUUUUUUUGUUAUUCGAUGCUGAAAGAGGAAUGUUGAAGUGUUUAUUUUUUGUAACUAAUAAUUUACUUUGAAAACUUUCACAAUUAAGAAUGCUUCUCCCCUUUUUUGAUAUUGCAUAAUAACAGAUUGAUCGAGAAAUAAAAAUCUUCAGAAAAAAGAUAUACAAUAAACUUACAUCGAAAGGAAAAAAUUUCGAUGUAUUUGAACGCUCCAGAGACCUCUGGAAACUAAUUUCUGCACUACCCGUGUCAAAAUAUAGCGAAGGAUUGAUUAGAAUAUAAAAUAUCAUAACUGUUAGUAUGCCAAUUGGCAACUAACUGGGAAGCUUGAAAAAUAACAUUCAUCAUUAUUCAAUGAUUGUCAUGUGAUUCUUGGUAACUGUCCUUUGUCCAUCCUUGCCUUUCACUAUUGUUCAAUAACUUCUUCCAAGAUCUCGCCUUUUAUUUUGCUCACAUACCUCGAUACCAGCAACGUGUUUUUAUACAGAAUCAUCCCCGAGCCAGAGGGAAUCGUGGACUCGCGGCCACAAUAAGCCCGCUCUGUUGUUGAUAAAUACUUUCCAUUUGUUAGAGCCGCGGGAAAGUCAAGCCGAUGUACGAUACGAGCGGCGCGAUUCGACGCAAUCGUUUCUAUAUGGGAGAUGGAUGAAAGCAUUAUGUGCAAUUGCUCCAAGGGGGAAGAAAAACUCGCGAUUCCUGGAGACAGGGUUGACGAAUCGGGAACGUACGUUAUAUCGCGUGUUAUUUAUUGCAUUGAUUACUCAUCUGGCGAUGGCACGGUCGAAAUAUUUUAUUUUUUAAUUAUCAAAGGUUCGUCGUUAAAUCUUAACAAUUCUAUGUAUCUAUUCGUUUCAUUUAUGAUCGCCAUUUUUGAUGUAAAAAAUUUGAUAAAGAAAAUUACUAACAUAAUUUGGUAAAAAGACACUUUCGGUUGUCACAGUUAAUUCAAUGUUUCGAUUAUUCCACGCUUUUUUAUUACCAAAAUUUUCGACUAAUUGCCGCCACAUAUAGCAAAUUUGUUUAAUUGUUAAAAAAAAUUAAAUUGCUAAAGCCAUUCCAUUGUUUGCUGGAAGCAAACAGAUUCCAGGUCAAAUUCAACCCGGUUAUUCCCUAAAAAUACAGUCGGCUUAAUUCAAAAACAAUGUUUUAUGUCCGCUUGACGCGCGGAUCACACACCCCGUUUUCAAAUUUCGCAUUCGCAUUCGCGCAUUUAUCUUGUUUUAGAACCAGAAUCGAACAAUUGGAUUUUCGCGCGUAAUGCAUCGGCCAUUGGCGACAGCUUUUAAUGGCGACGAGCUACGCGUGAAAUAUUGUUGCACAUUAUCCCGUUAAAUAUCCGUAGACUUGUUUCCAAUGUAUCUUAAAACUGAUUCCACGCGAAGAUAAACUCAGGAAGAUAACCGUGAUUGUCAGUAACUUACGUAGAUGAUGAUUCAACUCACGAUGAAUCAUCGGAGAGACGAAAAAUUUUACGAAUUACGAAAUCAAUUUGAAAAAGAAGAAGAUUUAUAUAUCUAUUUUAUAAUUUUUUAAUUCAAAUUCGACUGUCGAAUUUUUAUAUUUUAUAUUUGAAAUCUAAAUUUCUCAUUUUAAUAUUUGAACGUGUGAUUGAAGAUUUUCGAUAUUUUAUCUUAUGAAUUUUUAAUUUAUAUAAUAAACAUUGCUAAAAAAAGGGAAUAUCGCGUCGUGAUGUUUGAUUUGUUGAGAUUCGAGCGUGUCGUAGGAGGGCGUUCACGGUCCGCGCCCUUUUCGCUGGAAUUCCAUUUGGAAUUCGUCCCCUGGAGAAAGUGAAAUGCGAGAGUUUCUGUAGCGAGACAAAAUAAAACAACGUGAAAAUGUACCGCGUCGACAAUGGGAUAUGGACAAUUUAUAAUGACGAACGGCUCGACCUCAAAAACUGAAGAUAAGCAUCGAACCGAUCAAAAUUAUUUUAACAUACCAUACGUACCUCGUAUAAAAUAACAUUCCUAAUUAUUCUCCCGUUGGAUUAAUCCUAAUAAGACGGAUAUUUUAAAAAGAAUAAAUUAUAUAGAUGAUGUUCAUCUAAAUUUCAAAUGGAAAAUGUAUCAAUAUUGAUUGCUAUUUAAACUGAAAAAUCCUUAUAUUGAUUAUCGUAAUUUUUUUAAUUAAGAAUGACAUGAAGGUGAUUUCGAUGAUUCACAGAGCAUUGUGGAAAUGUGACGAGAGAAGAAAGAUGAUGAUUUCGGUGUCGAUUUUCGCGGCGAUUAUAACCCGUGACUGGAGUAAUGCCGGGUCGAGAUAAAUCGAUCCUCACACCCUGAAAUAUUCACGCUCGUAUCAAAGUACGUAGACUGGUGUGGUCUGCGGUAAUCUUGUCGAUGUAGUACGCGCAUAGAGACGCCUUGCUGCAAAGCCCUCUCUUCGCUCCACGCUAGCUUUUACGGCGGACGCCGAACUGGGACGGAACUUAAUUGAACCCGGCUGAACAUUAUCGAAUGUACAAGCUUCCGACCGAUACGUGCCUUCUUUCGCGACAGGAUAAUGCACGCAGUUUGAUUAUCCUAUCGCGAUGAAAUGAAAUAGUUGAGAAUUAUUACGCUGCACUUCAGAAUUAUUGCCGGUGCUUAGAUUCUAUAAUAAAAAAACAGAUUUACGUCGAACGUUUAUAGAAGGGCAAGAAAUAAAGUUACAAAAAUGAAAAUAAAUAAAUAAAUAAGAAUUGUAUGCUUUUUAUUGAAAUUUUUUGCAUCAAAACUACGCAGUCGCAUUUGAAUGAAUUAUUUAUCCAAUUAAAAAUCUAUCUCAUUUAUAUUCAAUUCUUCGAAGAGCUGAAAAAAUAAAUCGAAAAGAUAAUUUAUUUACCGUGAUAUUAUUGUACCUGUUUCAGAAUCCUAAAAGUACGCCAACUUUAUCUUCUAGACCGAUUUUACGACCCCACUGUAUCUCGUCCAUAGACUAUACCGUGGAACAUAGAAAGUUAACCGUGAACGCGGGAAAUUUCAAUGGGCCGGAUAGCGGCACAAAGGCACAACGCGACUUUUGCACAAUGUAUAAGUAUGCUAGGCGUGUAAUCGCGCGUCCCCAGGGCGAAAGAGAAUCGCGAGCGAUACGGGACGGUCGUUUGUUCAAUAAACAUGCACCGGCCGGCUCUCGUCACGGCGCUCAGGGCUAUUAUACUUGCCGAUCGAGGUGUUAGAAUAACGUUGAAACGAUGGUAAAACGAUGUCGAUGAGUUCAGUACGGUGUCACGCUUACGCAAUGUUAACCAGCCACAAGAAAAGCAGAAUAUAAGCUUUCCAGCCCGUGAAGUCGAUUCGUUUGUCUCGCAAUCAGUCUAUCGUACUAUCAGCAAAAGCUUUAACGUCAACGAAACGCACCGAUGACUUAUUUCGUGAUUUAACGAUUCCUCACUUUGUAUUACACUAGUCUCUUAUUGAAUAUUUGCGAUUUUUUGAUAUAUUUAUAGAAAAGAUUUUGUAAAAAUAUACAGAAAUUGUGAUGGAAUGAUAAACAAUUUUAAUCUAAUCAUCUUUAUAUAAAUAAUUACUAACAUGUUUUUUAAUUUUUAAUUUUUUACAAAGAUAUAUUAUCGUUAUUUAUAAUGCACAAAAAUAGAUAAAUUUUAUAACUUACUGAGGUUAAUAACUUUCUUUUCGUUACAUAACCUCAAAAAGGCUGAUAGAUCACGUUUCUUUCCAACAUGAAACAUCUUAUAUACAAUUGAAAUUUGUACAUUAAAAUGUUAAAACUCUUUCAUUUACACAAUUAUUCCAUCACGAAUAUACAUAAAAGUCAAUAUCCUAUUUACGUACCAAAAUCCUUACCGCAAACGCGUAAUCCAUUCCAUCUUAUUCCAUCUUAUUGUUAUAUCUUAACGCGGACGAUUCGAUGAACACCUUGGUAAAGCAGGCGUUAAACACAGUGAUGGUAACACAACCUAUUUUCACGAUCGUGUUCCCGAAGAGACUGAGAAGCCUAUUGUGAAACCGCCACGUAAAGUCCGUUAAUUUAGCGUCGGUUAAUCGCGACUAAUCGUUACUCUCCUAACCUGAUGCAACAACGAGACAACGAACAACGAUCCAGGCGGCGAGAUCGCGAAACAUUCUCGCCAUUUAUGCGUGUUACAUCGAUGUGACGAUGCAUAAUUCAUGUAUUGUUAUUACUGUUAUUAAGAUUAUUGGCGGCUUCCUUGGCCGCGGUUCAACUUGGGUUCUCGUUGAAAAAUCGAAUUGAUCGUAAGACGUCGUGAUUAGGGUUUUAGACGGUCAGGGAUGGGUAAUUACUAGAUUAUUAAAUCUCCACCUACGCACACUAGAAACCUCCAGAGUAAUGACUUCUUAUACAUCCUACGCGUGUAUGUUAUAUGGUUGAGAUGAGAACGAAUUUUUCGUUCGAUAUAUCGUUGCUCGCCAGAGAUGCGAAUGGAAAAUUUGAAACAGUAAGAGAUUGAACAGAUGUACUUCAUUUCCUGGAAAAUUGUCAAUUUUAACGCCAACAAUAAAAUUAGUAAAAAAAUUGAUUUCAAACAUAAUGAAAGGAUAAAAGAAAAAAAAUACAAAUGAUUUAUACAAGAUAUGAUUGUUGUUAAAAACUUUUGAAAGAUUUUGUUAAAACUUUUGAAAGAUAAAAUUUAAAUAAAAUUUGAAUGGAAUAAUUUGUCUCGUUUCUUCGUAUUCCGUAUUGUUCAUGUAUGAGUCUGCAACAUAUCAGGUAAAAGUCAAAGUCGCCUCUUACAUUGGAUUACGAAAUAAGAGGUCACCUAUGACGUCAUUCACUAUUGGUAAGUGGCCUUGGUUGAAGAAUUGAUGUUAAACGUAAAGUAGCCGAAAUAUUUGAAUGUAGAUUUAACAAAACCUAUACGUCACCAUUUUGUGCAUGAUGUUAAUACUUUUUCGGAACAAGAAGAAAGUAUCAUUGUUUUCUUAAAAUGAAUCAUCUGUUCCGUUUUUAUCAAUCCCGUUAUUCACGUCAAUCAUUCUCCAAUAUAUUUUAAGAGGGAAAGAAAGAAUUUUAAUAGAAUUUCCAAAUUGAAUAUUUAACAUUGAUACACACUCUUUGUUAUAUACGAUCUAUUUUGAACGAUAUGAUAUAUUUCGGCGUUAAAAUAAAGAAUUUUUCAAAAAAUGACUUCAAAAAUGAUUCACAUUUUUAAACAGGCGAAUAAACUUGCUAAUAUUUCAAUAUCAAAAAUAACAACAAUUCACGCGAACUCGAAUGACAAAUCAAAAUCGUUCGAACGAACAACAUGUGUUCCAAUGAAUUUGUAUUCUAUCUGAAUAAUACAUGCGUAGCAUGAUGACAACAGCGAAAAAAUAGUCAUCUGUUUGAUUAUUCUGGGAUAUUCGCGAAAACACGAACCGGUCGAUACCAAACGUUAAGUGUAAUAUCCUAUGCAUGUAGAAUUUCGUAUGAUGCGCGAAAAUUGCUAUUCAGAGGGCGACAAAUUUUGUUUUUUCUAUUUUUUUUUUUUUUUUAUUUUAUUGCGGUAUCCUCGGCCCCAACGAAACGACCGCGUUAAUUUUUCGCUUGCCUUUUGCGGUUGAUGGAUACGCCGGCCAUAUGGUCAGGACAUGCUGGAUUUUCAUGAAAGUUCAAACGCUCGUUUUUCUCUUUUGGGAUCCUUCAGAGCCUCUUCCUGCCAGCGUUUUCUGCUUUUUUUUUUUUAAUUUUUAUUUUUCAUUUCCUCUUUUUUUCGACGUACAAUGCGCCGUUGGAACAUUGUAACAGCGAGAACAGCGCAACGUGUAUAUUUUUAUGUAAUUUAUGUAGUAACUUGAAUCCGUAGCGAGACUCUGUGGAAAGCUUGCUACCUUCGACGAUGAAAAUAUAAUAUUCUUAUGCAUUCAAUGCGUAAGAUACGUACUUGUUAUUUACGAAAACUGCUUCAAAUAUUAUUUCGAAAAAAUUUAUUUCUUUUUUAUUUUGAUAAAAAUUUCUUAAUUGUUAUUCAAUAAACCUAUUGGUGGAAAAAGAUUGGUACAAAAUUUAGUGAAAUAUGUGAAUUAAGAAUCGGUCGAGUUGGCUUUCAAAAAAUUUUUAUUGUUUAUACGCGUUUCGUUCUGCAUUUGUUUUGUAAAACCAUGGUUUACACAUAUUGGAUUUAUUCCACGAGAGCACGAAAAUGUAAAAUUUUUUCAGUGCACGUAAAAUGAUACCAUUUAAAGUGUGCCACAUUGUUACUAAUAACAGCGCUAUUAUCUACAUAUUAAAAAAAAUUUUGUUCCAUAGGAAAGAACAAUAAAACUUUCUUUUCUAUCUACUGUACUUUUCAUAUCUUCCUCAUUCAACCAAACUGAAAAAGUAGUUUUAAAAUUGCAAUAAAAUGGAAUUUCAUAGGACUUGUACAAUAAUUUUGACAGCUCUUUUAUUAUCUGAGAACUAUAUUUUUUGAUAUUUUAUUAUUUAUAAAAAAUCAUGGCCACGAUGCAUAAUAUUGAAAUAUUUUCAUAUUAUAUAUAGAUUCAAAAGUUUCUUUAUUCUAUGUAUCUUUAAUUGUUUGCCAAUAGAAAAAUGAAAAGAUUUUUAUAUUAAGUUGCAAACAUAAAUAUGACAUUAAAUAAACAUAUUACAUAUAAACAUAUAUAUUAAAAAAAUUUAGUAUCAAGAAUUAAUUCUUAAAAAAUGUUCUACAUAUAUCUUAACACCUUGCAUAUAGAACCAAAUAUAUAAUAGCAAUAAAAUAUUCGACCAAGAUAAUAUAGUCACCUAUUGUAUUUCAAAAUAUUCCUCUUACCUUCUUCUCAAAAAAAAGAAGAAUAAAAAAAAAGAAAUAGAAUAAAAAAAGUGAAGAAAAAUAAAAAAAACAGAAUUUUCGAAAUCUUCCACGCAAAUCUCCAUAUUCAUCCAGGAGCAACAAAAGAACACAUUCAAAUUCUUCGAUAUUUCGAGCCGCUCGUCGCUGAUCUGUCGCGUCGAUAAAAAGAGAUCGAAAACGACAACCGGUGCGUUGUAAUGUUGUCGGUUUAUUGGUUGCUCGUGAACGUUGUAAGGUUUGCGUGCUUGUAUCAACGCCCACGGCAGCCUAGGUGACGACAACGUUUCCGAUAUAUCGAAGUUGAGACGUAUCUUCAUAUUAACCGCCCACGCGAGAAAUCGUUUCCAUUGUUCAGCAGAGUAUCGCAUUAAUUCGCGAACUCGUAUAGAAUAAUUGAUCUACCCACGAUGAAUCGCAUGGUUCCUCUCCUUAAUUACACUACGGCCAUUCGGAUCCGCUCAUCAUCUACGUUCAUCGUACCCGGGUUUUGUAUUCUUUAACUCUAUCGAUAAAACUGUUCGAUCGAAAAAGACGUUACGACGAGUUUGAAUUAUAGUUUAUUCCGUAAUCCGUUUCUUUUCCUAUUCUCUUUUUAAAGAAGAUCGUUUAUUUUUUUCGAUAUCUUUUUUCGAUUCUCAUAAUUUUAAAAUUCAAAAUUUCAAAUCAAAUUAUUCAAAUAACGAAUUGUUUAUUAUUUCUAAAUACAUUCUUUAUUUUGUAAUUAUGAUUACGCAUAAAAUUCACAGUUUUACAUGAACUUCCGAUCCCUCUGGUGGCAUUAGUCCGAUUAUACGAGAACGCAAUACGCAUGCGCAAAUAUGUGUGUAGAAGAACGAAGUUUCGCGAAACCGGUGCCACUUCAGCCCGGAAAACGAUUAUUAGUACGGGACACACCGCCACUUUGUAUGCGUGGUUCGUUUCGAGAGGGAAAGUUACGUUAUUUUCGGAUAUCGUCUCUCGUACUCACCUGGCACACGUUUUGCGCGAAAGUCUUCGUAACGCUUUGAUGCUUUGUCGAGGUGGUUAAUCGCUGUAACUCGAGAUACGUAGCGUUUGAAAAAGCCAAUGGGUGGCUAUGCUCGAACGAAUGUGCUUGUGCAAUGUUCAACUACUUUGAAUUGUAGGAAAAAUUUACUUAGAAUUUUGGGAGAAACUUAUUUUCGAAUAAAGUUUAUUUUCAGAUUAUUUGGUAAUAAUUCAGUUAGCGGAUAAAUUUUUAGGUUAGUUCGUAUCGAUGUAAAUACGAAAGUUUCUCUUAUUUUUACAUUUAUUUCAUUUUUCAAUUCAAUAAUUCUUUUAACAAGAACUAAUAAAUCGCAUACAUAAACGAAAACUUUAAUUUUAAAAUUAAAUCGAGAAAUAUUUGAAAUCCAAGGCGAAAGUAACCACAAAAUCGCAAGAGUUAAUCGCUACGUUCCAAGAAAAUCGCAGUUGGUUCCUUGGGUGUUGUACGACAGAACCGACAGUAGCCUUCUCUCUCCGAGGAUGGUCAUGCACGGCCCGAAAUUGAUGACAAUUGCGCGCUGGAAAGGAACACGCCGCGGAUGAAUCAUCUCCCGCGUUCUUUUCCUCCCUGUGCCCCGACCUCUUUGUCUUUUCUGGGACCAAUGACUCGACCAUGUACCAGAAUUAACCGUGAUUUCUCCGGAAGACAGGAUCGAAAACGUCGCCUCUAUUUAGUCCUGUCAUCGUAUGUCAAUUAUGCGAAUCUCUGUUGGAUCAGUUUAGUAUGUUGCAAAUAAUUUAACCGCAAAGAAAUUCAAAAGCAUCAACUUUACAACAAACAUAUAAGGCAUAUUAAUAAGAGGAUCGAGACGUACAAUAUUAAAAUCAAAGUCAGCUAUAUUCACGAAACUCUUUUAAACCGAAUAGGUCAAUGAUGUGCCGUAUCGUGUUUGUGUCUCGGAAGAAAGAACAGGAAUAUCUACGAAAGAAGGUGAAAUGGGCUAGCAUGGAAGAAAAGAAAAGAGGACUUGACGAUAGCUGGCGCGAUGAUACGAUCUCUCAUCAGCAAUAUGAAGCUAACAAAGCUCGACUGUACUUUUGGUAACCGACUACAUGAGGCGUCAUCCCUUUGCUCCUUUCACUGUGCAAUUUCUGCUUUUACUUCGGUCAAAGAGAACGAUUUUCCCGGACAGUUCGACUUGUUUCGAUAUCGAGUUAAAUCGAAUUGGGAUCGUUCGAGUGUUUAAACACUAAUCAACGUCUCAAUUUCCUAGCUUUGAUUCCCUAGCUUGAUCCUGAAUCCUCAAGUAGGAUGAUAUAAUCAGAUGUAUCGUAAUCUUUUUUUCAUAUAAUAAUUUUUUUAGAAUUAAAUUGUUCGAACAUUGAAAAGUAUUUAAUAAUAUAUGUAAUAAACUUUUACAAAAAUUUGCAAAGUUACAUAAUUUUAAUUUAAUAUCGCAUAUACGAUUCUCUUUCAAAAUUUUUGAUCUCUUCAGAUAAUCUUAUCAAAGCAAUUAACAAACUAAAAGAUAAAAAUAACCGUUCCAAUUACGCGAUAUUUCAUCGAAAAACUAGAUGUCAUUUUGCAAAAAGAAUCUGCUCUCAUUUUCAUUUUUUUUUCAGCUUCCUUUAUUCGAGACAAAAGCACGUUUGCCGCAGGAAUUCGACAAUGGUUCCGGUUAAAAAAUUACGUUCAACUGGCGACGCCGAUAAAUAUUUUAUCCCAGAUUAAAUGGAAAAUCAUGUUGGUCGGUGCCCAUUGUGCAAUCUACGAUCCUUGUUCACUUUCGCGUUGUCGUCACCGUGCUCGUCGUCGUCGUCGGCGUCGUAGUCGUCGUCGUAGUUGUCGUCGUCAUGAUUCCUGGUGUAGAACCUCUCUUUGCCCGUUUCCUCUUUGUCCUCGAUCGACGAUUCCCGAGGUCCUUUAAUAACGACCAUCGGUGAUUUAUCGACAACGCCACGAAGAGUGGUCCGCCGCAGCACCAGAUUCCCAGAUAGAUGGACACGGUUGGGAACAGUUGGCGACGAAAUAAUAAUGGUGCAUCAACUUUCUCUUCACUUUCAAAUCAUUCAUAAUUGAACCAGAACAAGCUCUAAUUGAAAGUAUUAUCGAGUAAACAAAAAGGAAAUAUCCACUUCCGCAUCCUGAACUUCCGAUCGCAUGGAAUUCUCGUUAGAUACGUGGUGAAAUGAAGAAAAGAAAAUUCCUUUCCUCCUGUACCCGGAAAUCGGUCAAGGGAAUCCUAAUAGAAACGAUAUCAGCGAUCUUCACAUGGAAUUUUUUUUUUGUCAAAUGUUAAUCAGCUAUUCGAUUGAUUAUAACGAGCAUAAAACGAUGAUAAUUAGAGAACGAUCGAAAAUCCAAAUAUUUAGCCUAUCUAUGAUCCCUAUUAAUCCAUUCAAGUUCCAUUGUACAUUCGAUAAUAUUGAAUCUCGUUAUAAUCGACUCGUCGUCUCGAUUGCAAUUUUUUUUUCUUUAUUUUUCUUCAUCUUUUUCUCUGGUGAAUUCAAAAUCAUUCCGAAUUACCGGAAGAAUUGAUUUUUCUUACACGACACGUCCCUUGGAUCGUACUUGUACAAUUUUUCACUUGUCAUGUUUAGUUGCUUUGUUGACCAGUGUUGUUUUCAGAAAGUUAUAGAGUUUGAUAUGAAAUGCAGAGGAAACAUUUUAUGAAUAUUGUUCUUAUAAUUUUACUACAUUUUUUAAAGAAAAAAUUAAAUUUUUAUCUUAAUUAUAUUAAAUUUGUUUAAAUUUUUGAUGAAUGCCUCAUGAAAAUAAUAAAAAAAUAAUAAUAUAUUGAUAUUGAGAAAAUCUUAUUUGAGAAAUAUUAAAGAAAUUUUUUUAAAUUAAUAUUCUAUCAAAUUUAAAAUGUUCCUUUUUCUUUUAUUUCUUUAUUUUUAAAUAUAAUUUAUAUAUUUUCAAAAAUAUUUUGAUAUAGAAUAUUUUUAAAGAAUAUGCACUAUUUUUGCAUAUAGUAUUUCUAGACAAGAGAAAGUCUAAGCGGGCUAUCCUUUCAUACAUGAAAACCGGAAAUUAGUAAACUGUUGCUUCAUGUAGCAAUGAUUACAAUUACUCCCGUACGUUUGUCAGACUCAACAAAACAAUGAAAAUUUUGCAUGGUGAAAGCGACUAGUACUCAUUGACUAGAAGUACCGGAUGUACUUACAUUCGCAUAGAUUCUAUGAGAGCUAUCGUUCCGUGAUUUCGAUUAUGAAGUAAACUUUAUUCAAAAUUUCAUUUCAUUCCACAUGUCUUUAUAUUUUAAGAAUUAUAUUAUAAUUCAAUACAUAAAAUAGAUGCAUAAAUAUAAAUGUAAGUAUAGUCAAAUUUGACUAAUUUUAUUUUAAAUAAAUUUACCAUUUUGAAAUAAUUUUCUAAAUUUUUAAAAUUAACUCAAAUUUAUUCUUUUUAUAUAAUAUUUUAUUCUUAUAAUAUUUAUAUAAUUAAUUUUGAUUAACAAACAAAGACAA